UACAGAGGGGGCAAGCGUUGUUCGGAAUUACUGGGCGUAAAGGGCGCGUAGGCGGCCUGUUAAGUCGAACGUGAAAUCCCCGGGCUCAACCCGGGAACUGCGUCCGAUACUGGCAGGCUUGAAUCCGGGAGAGGGAGACGGAAUUCCGGGUGGAGCGGUGAAAUGCGUAGAGAUCCGGAGGAACACCGAAAGCGAAGGCAGUCUCCUGGCAAGUUUCUGACGCUCAGGUGCGAAAGCUAGGGGAGCGAAACAGG
rnacentral:rRNA from 1 species